AGAUUGAACGCUGGCGGCAGGCCUAACACAUGCAAGUCGAGCGGUAGAGAGGUGCUUGCAUCUCUUGAGAGCGGCGGACGGGUGAGUAAUGCCUAGGAAUCUGCCUAGUGGUGGGGGAUAACGUUCGGAAACGGACGCUAAUACCGCAUACGUCCUACGGGAGAAAGCGGGGGACCUUCGGGCCUCGCGCCAUUAGAUGAGCCUAGGUCGGAUUAGCUAGUUGGUGAGGUAAUGGCUCACCAAGGCGGCGAUCCGUAACUGGUCUGAGAGGAUGAUCAGUCACACUGGAACUGAGACACGGUCCAGACUCCUACGGGAGGCAG
rnacentral:rRNA from 1 species